rnacentral:rRNA from 1 species
UACGUAGGGUGCAAGCGUUGUCCGGAAUUAUUGGGCGUAAAGGGCGCGUAGGCGGAUAUUUAAGUUGGGGGUGAAAUCCCGGGGCUCAACCUCGGAAUUGCCUUCAAAACUGGAUAUCUUGAGUUCGGGAGAGGUGAGUGGAACUCCGAGUGUAGAGGUGAAAUUCGUAGAUAUUCGGAAGAACACCAGUGGCGAAGGCGACUCACUGGCCCGAUACUGACGCUGAGGCGCGAAAGCGUGGGGAGCAAACAGG